AUUUAAUUAUAAUUUAAAAUAUUAAAAUAGUAUUAGUUAUAUUCUUAAAACUUAAAAAAUUUGGUAGUAUUUUUUCUGAUCAGAGGAACUUGUUUUAUAAUUGAUAAUCCUCAUUAAAUCUUACUUAAUUUAUUAAAAUUUGUAUACCGUCGUCAUCAGAAUAUCUAAAAAAAGAAAAAAUUUUCUAGUAUUUUAAAUAAUAAGUAUGUCAGAUCAAGGUGCAGUUUAUAAUUAAGAAAAAAUUAGUUACAAUAAAAGUAUUUAUGUUGGAUAUAUAAAUGAAAUUUUAUAUAAAAAUUGGAUUUGAAAGUAAAUUUAAUAAUUAAAUUAAAUUGAUUUAGAUCAAUAAUAUGC
rnacentral:rRNA from 1 species